GUCGAGCGGUAACAGGGGUAGCUUGCUACCCGCUGACGAGCGGCGGACGGGUGAGUAAUGCAUAGGAAUUUACCCGAUAGUGGGGGAUAACCUGGGGAAACCCAGGCUAAUACCGCAUACGUCCUACGGGAGAAAGGGGGCUUCGGCUCCCGCUAUCGGAUGAGCCUAUGCCGGAUUAGCUGGUUGGUGAGGUAAUGGCUCACCAAGGCGACGAUCCGUAGCUGGUCUGAGAGGAUGAUCAGCCACAUCGGGACUGAGACACGGCCCGAACUCCUACGGGAGGCAGCAGUGGGGAAUAUUGGACAAUGGGCGCAAGCCUGAUCCAGCCAUGCCGCGUGUGUGAAGAAGGCCCUCGGGUUGUAAAGCACUUUCAGCGAGGAAGAACGCCUGGCGGUUAAUACCCGCCAGGAAAGACAUCACUCGCAGAAGAAGCACCGGCUAACUCCGUGCCAGCAGCCGCGGUAAUACGGAGGGUGCAAGCGUUAAUCGGAAUUACUGGGCGUAAAGCGCGCGUAGGUGGCUUGAUAAGCCGGUUGUGAAAGCCCCGGGCUCAACCUGGGAACGGCAUCCGGAACUGUCAGGCUAGAGUGCAGGAGAGGAAGGUAGAAUUCCCGGUGUAGCGGUGAAAUGCGUAGAGAUCGGGAGGAAUACCAGUGGCGAAGGCGGCCUUCUGGACUGACACUGACACUGAGGUGCGAAAGCGUGGGUAGCAAACAGGAUUAGAUACCCUGGUAGUCCACGCCGUAAACGAUGUCGACCAGCCGUUGGGUGCCUAGCGCACUUUGUGGCGAAGUUAACGCGAUAAGUCGACCGCCUGGGGAGUACGGCCGCAAGGUUAAAACUCAAAUGAAUUGACGGGGGCCCGCACAAGCGGUGGAGCAUGUGGUUUAAUUCGAUGCAACGCGAAGAACCUUACCUACUCUUGACAUCCUGCGAACUGGU
rnacentral:rRNA from 1 species